UACGAAGGGGCUAGCGUUGCUCGGAAUCACUGGCGUAAAGGGUGCGUAGGCGUUGUUAAGUCCGCUGUGAAGCCUGGCUCAACCUGGAAUUGCAGUGAUACUGCAAGCUAGAGUGCGGUAGAGAUGUGAAUCCGGUGUAGCGUGAAAUGCGUAGAGAUCGGAGGACACCCGUGGCGAAGCGCAUCUGACAGCACUGACGCUGAGCACGAAGCGUGGGAGCAACAGG
rnacentral:rRNA from 1 species